AAAGUCGUAACAAGGUUUCCGUAGGUGAACCUGCGGAAGGAUCAUUAUCGUAGGGCUUCGGCCCUGUCGAGAUAGAACCCUUGCCUUUUUGAGUACCUUUUCGUUUCCUCGGCAGGCUCGCCUGCCAACGGGGACAACAACACACCCUGACAUCACCUGUAACCGUCUGAUAAAACAAACAAAAAUCAAAACUUUCAACAACGGAUCUCUUGGUUCUG
rnacentral:misc_RNA from 1 species